GCAACCUUUAAAGGGAAGGGAUACAUUCAGACCAAAAAAGAAAAAAAGAAGGGAUACAUCCAUUCUUUUCCCUGCUACAGUAUGAAUUCGUUGGUCAUUAGUGAAGCUGCAUGGUGUGGGAUGCAGAUAAAUGAACUGCAAAUGGUUACACCUCGCAGCCUGAGAUAUUUCAUCAGGAAACUCUGGUGUUUGAAUUUUGGGGCAUAAAUCCACCGAACAGAUAAUCAUUUUCCAGAGCUGACCGUAAGAGAAACAUUGGAUUUUACAGCUAGAUGUCAAGAUGCAAGUGAAGCCUAUGUAGGUGUGUUCUUGUUAAUUGCAAUUUCGUUACUUUCAAUGCGUAUAUAUUCUUAAUUCCAGCAAUUAUUUCAUGUACUCAAUCGAGCACUGUUGAUAUCCUUCCCCUGUUUUUGUCAAUUGUUUUAUGCUGUAGCAUACAUGAAUGAUUUGGUACGGUUAGAGAGGGAAAGGAAUAUAAGGCCGGAUCCAUAAAUUGAUGCAUUUAUGAAGAGUUUGCAAUUGGGGUG